AUUGAACGCUGGCGGCAGGCCUAACACAUGCAAGUCGAACGAGUGGCGGACGGGUGAGUAAUGUCUGGGAAACUGCCCGAUGGAGGGGGAUCACUACUGGACACGGUCGCUAAUACCGCAUACCAUCGGAUGUGCCCAUAUGGGAUUAGCUAGUAGGUGGGGUAAAGGCUCACCUAGGCCACGAUCCCUAGCUGGUCUGAGGGGAUGAACAGCCACACUGGAACUGAGACACGGUCCAGACUCCUACGGGAGGCAGCAGUGGGGAAUAUGGCACAAGGGGCGCAAGCCUGAUGCAGCCAUGCCGCGUGUAUGAAGAAGGCCUUCGGGUUGUAAAGUACUUUCAGCGGGGAGGCGUUACCCGCAGAAGAAGCACCGGCUAACUCCGUGCCAGCAGCCGCGGUAAUAC
rnacentral:rRNA from 1 species